rnacentral:rRNA from 1 species
CUACGGGUCGCACCAGUGAGGAAUAUUGCACAAUGGGGGAAACCCUGAUGCAGCAACGCCGCGUGGAGGAUGACGCAUUUCGGUGUGUAAACUCCUUUUAUAUGUCAAGAAAAUGACGGUAGCAUAUGAAUAAGCACCGGCUAACUCCGUGCCAGCAGCCGCGGUAAUACGGAGGGUGCAAGCGUUAUUCGGAAUCACUGGGCGUAAAGGACGCGUAGGCGGGUUUUUAAGUCAGGUGUGAAAUCCUACAGCUUAACUGUAGAACUGCACUUGAAACUACUGACCUAGAGUAUGGGAGGGGGAGAUGGAAUUAGUGGUGUAGGGGUAAAAUCCGUAGAUAUCACUAGGAAUACCUAAAGCGAAGGCGAUCUCCUGGAACAUUACUGACGCUAAGGCGUGAAAGCGUGGGGAGCAAACAGGAUUAGAUACCCCGGUAGUC